rnacentral:rRNA from 1 species
AAUCAACGCUGGCGGCGUGCCUCAGACAUGCAAGUCGAACGAGAAGGCUCCUUCGGGAGCCGGAAAGUGGCGCACGGGUGAGUAACACGUGGGUAAUUUACCUUCGGGUGGGAACGAACAGCCGGAACGGCUGCUAAUACCGCAUAACGUAGCGGCACCUAAUGGUGACAGUUGUUAAAGCGGGGGAGUCGCAAGACCUCGCGCCUGAAGAGAAGCCUGCGGCAGAUUAGGUAGUU